rnacentral:rRNA from 1 species
AGUAACGCGUAGAUAAUCUACCCCUAUAUCUGGGAUAACCAAUCGAAAGGCUGGCUAAUACCGGAUAAUUUUAUAACACCGCAAGGUGUCUUAAGUAAAGGUGACCUCUCGUAGAAGUUGCCGUAUAGGGAUGAGUUUGCGUACCAUUAGCUAGUAGGUGGGGUAAUGGCCCACCUAGGCUACGAUGGUUAGCGGGUCUGAGAGGAUGAUCCGUCACACUGGAACUGAAACACGGACCAG